GAACCAACCGGGAUUGCCUUAGUAACGGCGAGUGAAGCGGCAAAAGCUCAAAUUUGAAAUCUGGUACCUUCGGUGCCCGAGUUGUAAUUUGGAGAGGGCAACUUUGGGGCCGUUCCUUGUCUAUGUUCCUUGGAACAGGACGUCAUAGAGGGUGAGAAUCCCGUGUGGCGAGGAGUGCGGUUCUUUGUAAAGUGCCUUCGAAGAGUCGAGUUGUUUGGGAAUGCAGCUCUAAGUGGGUGGUAAAUUCCAUCUAAAGCUAAAUAUUGGCGAGAGACCGAUAGCGAACAAGUACAGUGAUGGAAAGAUGAAAAGAACUUUGAAAAGAGAGUGAAAAAGUACGUGAAAUUGUUGAAAGGGAAGGGCAUUUGAUCAGACAUGGUGUUUUGUGCCCUCUGCUCCUUGUGGGUAGGGGAAUCUCGCAUUUCACUGGGCCAGCAUCAGUUUUGGUGGCAGGAUAAAUCCAUAGGAAUGUAGCUUGCCUCGGUAAGUAUUAUAGCCUGUGGGAAUACUGCCAGCUGGGACUGAGGACUGCGACGUAAGUCAAGGAUGCUGGCAUAAUGGUUAUAUGCCGCCC
rnacentral:rRNA from 1 species